GCUAGCGUUGCUCGGAAUCACUGGGCGUAAAGCGCACGUAGGCGGAUUGCUAAGUCAGGGGUGAAAUCCUGGAGCUCAACUCCAGAACUGCCCUUGAUACUGGCGGUCUCGAGUCCGGGAGAGGUGAGUGGAACUGCGAGUGUAGAGGUGAAAUUCGUAGAUAUUCGGAAGAACACCAGUGGCGAAGGCGACUUACUGGACACGUAUUGACGCUGAGGUGCGAAAGCGUGGGGAGCAAACAGG
rnacentral:rRNA from 1 species